rnacentral:rRNA from 1 species
UGAGGAAUAUUGGGCAAUGCCCGCAAGGGUGACCCAGCAACGCCGCGUGGAGGAUGAAUGUCGUAAGAUUGUAAACUCCUGUUAGAGGGGAAGAAUAGUACCGGUUGGACCGGUAUAUGACUGUACCCUCAGAGAAAGCCCUGGCUAACUACGUGCCAGCAGCCGCGGUAAUACGUAGGGGGCAAGCGUUGUCCGGAUUUACUGGGUGUAAAGGGCGCGCAGGCGGGAUAAAAAGUCAGUGGUGAAAUCCUACAGCUUAACUGUAGAACUGCCCUUGAUACUUUUAUUCUGGAGUUCGGCAGAGAGAGACGGAAUUCCAGGUGUAGUGGUGAAAUACGUAGAUAUCUGGAAGAACACCAGUUGCGAAGGCGGUCUCUUGGUCCGAUACUGACGCUGAGGCGCGAAAGCGUGGGG